ACGAACGCUGGCGGCAGGCCUAACACAUGCAAGUCGAACGCCCCGCAAGGGGAGUGGCAGACGGGUGAGUAACGCGUGGGAACCUACCUCGAGGUGCGGAACAACCAAGGGAAACUUUGGCUAAUACCGCAUGUGCCCGAGAGGGGAAAGAUUUAUCGCCUUGAGAUGGGCCCGCGUAGGAUUAGCUAGUAGGUGAGGUAAUGGCUCACCUAGGCGACGAUCCUUAGCUGGUCUGAGAGGAUGACCAGCCACACUGGGACUGAGACACGGCCCAGACUCCUACGGGAGGCAGCAGUGGGGAAUAUUGGACAAUGGGCGCAAGCCUGAUCCAGCCAUGCCGCGUGUGUGAUGAAGGCCUUAGGGUUGUAAAGCACUUUCGCCGAUGAAGAUAAUGACGGUAGUCGGAGAAGAAGCCCCGGCUAACUUCGU
rnacentral:rRNA from 1 species